GGGGGCGAUCCGGUUUCGACGGGGGCGAGAGAAACGCGGAUGGCAUGCCGAGGUCCCGCCGGCCUCGUUAAACUGGCGGGUCUUUUCAACUGCCGACUAUCAGCCGGCAUACGUCUGCUAAAUAGAGCGGACGCGUCCCGCCCGGUUUUGCCCGUGGGGCCGGGAUGGGGCGUCGCUUACACGGGAUAGUCUCUGAGCUUGGCCGCUGGGCGAUGAGGCGAAACUCUUACGGUGGCUGGCCGACCCUGCAUCCCGCCCGUCGGAGGCAGGGACGGCGAGAUCCAAACAUCGGGCUAUGCAUGUAGAGGUCCGUGUGGAACCGCUUUCGGACGCGGGUUCGACUCCCGCCGCCUCCACCA
rnacentral:tmRNA from 1 species